UGCUCUGCCUGACUGUAGCCGAGCGAUUUCAGUGACGCUACGUUUGGCACUUGCAUUUCGGACAUAGUUCAGGAGGCGUCUUACUUAGUUCCUGCAGUUUUAAAAGUGUGGCUUUAAUUAUAGGCUGGAGUCGUUGGUACGGGCAACAUUUUAAGGAGACGUAACUAAGCGGGGUCAGCUGGAAAAUGGGUCUCAGUCUUAGGGAAUUUGUCAUGUGCAGAAUUUCGCCAGCGUGCACUUUCAUGCACGUUUACCACAGACCUCGGUGGGUCCUCUGAUCUCCUGGCCGGAGCUGGCCUCGGCCUGCUGUGCCCUUCCGUAACCAGUCUGCAGCACCUUGGUUACUAGGUGCCCGUUUUUAAAAGGCUAUAUUUGAGGUCCAGUAGCUGGGUGGUCUUCAGGGGGUCGUGGGGGGUUCUGCAAACUUUCUCUCUGGUAGUUGUGUUCAUUGUGAGUGGGCAUCUAGUUUUGUGGUUACCUACAGAUAUGGGUUAAGUCUGGAAAACAGCCCAAGAAAGUGAUUCAGCCUGCAAGUGCCAGACUGCUGCCCACCAUAGGGGGGAAAGCUCCCAGAAGAAAGUCGUCUCCAUCCUUCUGUGUUACGGGCAGACAGCAGCGUAAGAAACGUGGAGUCCCUGCCGCCUUCAGUCAGAUUGCAUAACCCACUGGCCACCGCGCUCUCGCGUCCGGAGCCGCCAGGACCUUGCAGGGCUUGGCUGUUACCGCUCUGAGCACCGUUCGGGAGGAAGGUCGCAUGGAGGAAAACACCUCUUCCACAGCGGUACCGUGAUGGGGGCGGCUCUGAGAUGAGAGUGGCCGUCAGCCCUCUGCCCGUGUGGUCAGGGACGAGUGUCUUCUGUCCCAGUGCGCUUGGUCACUGCCGUGACGUCUGGGCUCCCGUUUCUUCAUCUCUCUCGGCAGCCCCAGCCCGGCCGCCCUGCUCUGUGGUGGGCUGCAAACUAUAGGUUUAACACACGGAAUCUUCCCGUUUACCCCAGCACCCGGGACCUGUGUUGUGCAGUGAGGAGAGGGGCUGAGGCCGCUGCAUCUUGGUGGGGGUGCCUCUGCUUGCACGGCAUUGGAGAAGGACAGGAGCCAGUGCCGCUGCCUUGGGAGACACACAGUGACCAGCAGCUCGUCCCACGUGGGGACUGGUUCAUGACCAUCAGAAACGGUGGAUGUGCAGGGACAGCCUGGGCCCGUUGGCGGGGGCGGCAGUUUGGGUCCCGGGGACAGCGAAAGCCCCUGGAGGUUUUCGUACCCCUUUAAGAACUGUUCAUCGGCACUGCCCGUGUUCCAGGACAGGGCGUUGGGGGACAUGAGCUCUGUGGCCACUGGGAUGGAGGUGCCGCUCAGAAGGUGGCUGAGAGUGAACUUGGAGGGAGCGAGCUCUGAUGAGAGAGUCGUCAGGCACAGGCAUGGGGAAAAUCUCGUCCUGGGGCUCCUGUGCCCUGAGUGCAAACAUCAUCGGUGCUUCUCUUUAUUCAGCCUACUUCCUGGCUGUGAUGGGCUGAAUUGUUUCCCCCAAGUCCACAGCGGGGAGCCCGGCCCCACGGCCCAUUCCAGCCCAAGUGUGUAUGUGCAGAUGAGUCUCUGAGGAGGUGAUGGAGGCAAAAUAAGGUACUGAUAUGGGCUCUACUCCGGUGUGAUUGGCUGGGACACAGACACACACGGAGGGAUGACCAUGUGAGGACAUGGGGAUGACAUGGCUGUCUGCACACCUUGGAGAGGCCUCGGGCGGGACCAGCCCGGCCGUGCCUGGAUCUGGGACGAGCGUGAAUGGGAAAGAAUAACUGUGUUGUCUGAGCCACCUGGUCUGGUGCUCUGUCAAGAACACUUGAGACAUCAGGGUGAUGUGGCCAGAGUCUGUGCUUGGACCCUGUUGGGGGAAGGUGGUCUCAGUCUAGCCCAAACAUUCUGAUUGUCUCCACUGACCCCGCAGACGACCCACUUGGCCCCAGGACGGCACGCCACACACUAGGGCUGUGUAGUCCACGACAAGCUUGGUGCUGGGGGGGUCUGCAGCAGGUGGGUGGGGGGAGGGCUGAGCUUGUCUGUCCUGCCCCUUGGCUGCACCAGCACUUGUCACUGCUCUUUCUCCUCCGUCAGCCCUGGAACAGCAGCUUGGUUUUAACGGUUAUGCAGGGAGCUCAUCUUUGGAUUUGUUAAUGUACAAAUAAAAAUGAAAAUUUCCCCAGCCCAGAGCCAGGGCCAGAAAUGUUA